rnacentral:rRNA from 1 species
AGUGAACGCUGGCGGUAGGCCUAACACAUGCAAGUCGAACGGCAGCACAGUAAGAGCUUGCUCUUACGGGUGGCGAGUGGCGGACGAGUGAGGAAUACAUCGGAAUCUACUUUUUCGUGGGGGAUAACGUAGGGAAACUUACGCUUAUACCGCAUACGACCUACGGGUGAAAGCAGGGGAUCUUCGGACCUUGCGCGAUUGAAUGAGCCGAUGUCGGAUUAGCUAGUUGGCGGGGUAAAGGCCCACCAAGGCGACGAUCCGUAGCUGGUCUGAGAGGAUGGUCAGCCACACUGGAACUGAGACACGGUCCAUACUCCUACGGGAGGCAGCAGUGGGGAAUAGUGGACAGUGGGCGCAAGCCUGAUCCAGCCAUACCGCGUGGGUGAAGGAGGCCUUCGGGUUGUAAAGCCCUUUUGUUGGGAAAGAAAAGCAGCAGGUUGAUACCCCGCUGUUCUGACGGUACCCAAAGAAUAAGCACCGGCUAACUUCGUG